rnacentral:rRNA from 1 species
GACGAACGCUGGCGGCGUGCUUAACACAUGCAAGUCGAACGGAAAGGCCCUGCUUUUGUGGGGUGCUCGAGUGGCGAACGGGUGAGUAACACGUGAGUAACCUGCCCUUGACUUUGGGAUAACUUCAGGAUACUGGGGCUAAUACCCGAUAGGAGCUCCUGCUGCAUGGUGGGGGUUGGAAAGUUUCGGCGGUUGGGGAUGGACUCGCGGCUUAUCAGCUUGUUGGUGGGGUAGUGGCUUACCAAGGCUUUGACGGGUAGCCGGCCUGAGAGGGUGACCGGCCACAUUGGGACUGACAUACGGCCCAGACUCCUACGGGAGGCAGCAGUGGGGAAUAUUGCACAAUGGGCGGAAGCCUGAUGCAGCAACGCCGCGUGCGGGAUGACGGCCUUCGGGUUGUAAACCGCUUUCGCCUGUGACGAAGCGUGAGUGACGGUAAUGGGUAAAGAAGCACCGGCUAACUACGUG